rnacentral:rRNA from 1 species
CUAUGGCUCAGGAUGAACGCUAGCGACAGGCCUAACACAUGCAAGUCGAGGGGCAGCACAAGGAGCAAUCUGAGGUGGCGACCGGCGCACGGGUGAGUAACACGUAUGCAACCUGGCUGUAAGAGGGGAAUAACCCGGAGAAAUCCGGACUAAUACCGCAUAUACUUAGAAUCCGCAUGGAUUUUAAGUUAAACAUUUAUGGCUUACAGAUGGGCAUGCGUAUGAUUAGCUGGUUGGAGAGGUAACGGCUCCCCAAGGCAACGAUCAUUAGGGGUUCUGAGAGGAAGGUCCCCCACACUGGUACUGAGGCACGGACCAGACUCCUACGGGAGGCAGCAGUGAGGAAUAUUGGUCAAUGGACGCAAGUCUGAACCAAGCCAAGUCGCGUGAAGGAAGAAUGUCCUAUUGGAUUGUAAACUUCUUUUGAAGGGAAUAAAGUACGGUACGUGUACCGUUUUGUAUGUACCCUUCGAAUAAGGAUCGGCUAACUCCGUGCCAGCCGCGGC